rnacentral:misc_RNA from 1 species
UGAGAAAGAUUCCUUAAAAACAUACGAUUUUAAGCCCUUUCUUUCCAUGCAACCAGUGAAAAAUCAAUAACCCAGAAAAUUUUUAGAUUCGAACAUUCAUUUUAUCAGUUCUUUUUCUUCCCUUUCCUUCUCUUUCUCAUUAUCAAAACACACAAAGGAAACUUUAAAAUCAAUGGCAGAAGGUUAACCUGCAUCCUCGCUUGGCUAAA